GUUUCACCCUCAUACCAAACGGGGUAUUGAUUGAUGGUAUUUUUGGCGCUCAUACCAGACAGGGUAUGGGGACGACCGGUUAGUUGACAAUGUUGAAUAAGGGUUCACGCAUAGUGGGGACAUCCCUAUAGACUCCCAUGGAUACUAGUAGGCAGAUAAAAAGAGAAAGUUAUUGUUCUGAUUAAUUGAAUAUGAGAUUAUGAUAUUUUUUGUGUUAUUGCC
rnacentral:lncRNA from 1 species